rnacentral:rRNA from 1 species
CCUACGGGCGGCAGCAGUGAGGAAUAUUGGUCAAUAGACGAGAGUCUGAACCAGCCAAGUAGCGUGAAGGAUGACUGCCCUAUGGGUUGUAAACUUCUUUUAUAAAGGAAUAAAACGAGGCACGUGUGCCUUUUUGCAUGUACUUUAUGAAUAAGGAUCGGCUAACUCCGUGCCAGCAGCCGCGGUACUACGGAGGAUCCGAGCGUUAUCCGGAUUUAUUGGGUUUAAAGGGAGCGUAGAUGGGUUGUUAAGUCAGUUGUGAAAGUUUGCGGCUCAACCGUAAAAUUGCAAUUGAUACUGGCAGUCGUGAGUACAGUUGAGGUAGGCGGAAUUCGUGGUGUAGCGGUGAAAUGCUUAGAUAUCACGAAGAACCCCGAUUGCGAAGGCAGCUUACUAAACUGUGACUACAUUGAUGCUCGAAAGUGUGGGUAUCAAACAGGAUUAGAUACCCCGGUAGUC